CCUACGGGAGGCUGCAGUGGGGAAUAUUUGACAAUGGGGGCAACCCUGAUCCAGCCAUGCCGCGUGUGUGAAGAAGGCCCUCGGGUUGUAAAGCACUUUCAGUGAGGAAGAACGCCUGGUGGUUAAUACCCAUCAGGAAAGACAUCACUCACAGAAGAAGCACCGGCUAACUCCGUGCCAGCAGCCGCGGUAAUACGGAGGGUGCGAGCGUUAAUCGGAAUUACUGGGCGUAAAGCGCGCGUAGGUGGCUUGAUAAGCCGGUUGUGAAAGCCCCGGGCUCAACCUGGGAACGGCAUCCGGAACUGUCAAGCUAGAGUGCAGGAGAGGAAGGUAGAAUUCCCGGUGUAGCGGUGAAAUGCGUAGAGAUCGGGAGGAAUACCAGUGGCGAAGGCGGCCUUCUGGACUGACACUGACACUGAGGUGCGAAAGCGUGGGUAGCAAACAGGAUUAGAUACCCUUGUAGUC
rnacentral:rRNA from 1 species